GGGUCCCUGUGAUGUCCAGCACUGGGCUCCAAUAGCAAACUGAGGACAUCGUGCCUCCCCGGGACCUUUGACACUCGGGCUCUGAGGGACCC